rnacentral:tRNA from 1 species
GCGCCCGUAGCUCAACUGGACAGAGCGGCGGACUACGGAUCCGCAGGUUGGGGGUUCGACUCCUCUCGGGCGCGCCA